UCUAACUUUAUUUUAGUCAACGUUGUGGUUACACGGUUUUAACAUCACAUUUCACUACUCUGGCACUUACGAUUGAGGAGGACGUCCUCAUAUCUCAUUUUCAGGUCAACGUUCAAGAGAGAGCCGGAAUUUCCCCUGGCGUGUCCAUGGUCGUUAAUUCCGAAAGAUGCAGUUGAUUCAUCAUCAUGACGACGGCUGUUAUGCGCUUUUGCAUGGCCGGAACGCAGCGGAUUCUUAACUCCAUGGCCCAGAGAAGGAAUUUCCCCGGUGGUGACUUUCGAUGAUUGCUCAGCCGUCCGCAAGCCCACGCUGGAAUCCGGAUACGGUGCGGGAAGAGCAGCUGGGACCGGCACCGGACCUGAAAAUGAGAUAUGAUGGCGUGCUCCUCAAUCGACAAAGAGGUACCAGAAAAUUUGUGAUUAAAAUGGACCACCUUAACCUUGCAACCAUAUGGCCAUGCGUCGCGACAAACAAAAGGUUAAAAUCCGGGGAUCAGUUAAAGGCACCGUCAGGAUACCUGAUAACGGAAAUGGCCAUCCGUAUCCAGGAACAAAAGGCAUGGGCAGCGCCUGAUAUGGCAUCAUCGGCAUGAACGGGAUGCCUGGUGAUGGAAGCAUCGGCAUCGAUAGUGGAAUCUGGCCCAGCACGGAAAACAUUUCACCGAUUUGCAGUUCCUGGAAUUUGUCCGCAAGACGACGCACGUGAAACCUUGGAAGCUGCAUUGUGCGGAGCCUCUAAUCGGUUUACUGGCAUUAAUAUCCUCACCUGACGUUCGCCUCUAAGGGCUCCGUUUGCAGUCAAAACAUUCACCUGGAGACGAUUCUGGAGGAAGUCCGUAACCCCUAAAAUCGGAAGCAUUAGCCAGGCUGCGGCGGUGCCUUUAACUGAUCCUCGGAUUUUAACCUUUUGUUUGUCCCCGGAUUCCUGCCGAGGAUUUGGGAAUGUUAUGGACACGCGCGUAACCUUGGAAAUCUGCGAUAUCAACGCCUCCGCAUCACACAGGCUGUACAUCGCAGACUGGCUAUGAGGAUGGAUGUAUAAGGUUGCUGUAACGGAUUCUUCCACCUGCGACAAUUUAAUGUGAACAAUUAAUUACAUAGCGAAAGGUUCGAGUUUUAUUACUGGUAGAACUGCAAGCCAUACCACUCUGGUAGCUACAUUUGUAACACCAUUUUUGUAAAAUUCAGUGGUGGUAAUCAAACCCUGAUUGAUUGUAUUGUCGGCGUUGAUAACCUGAUAAGUACUCAGAGGAAUAAAACCAUUCAGAUGAA